rnacentral:siRNA from 1 species
CGUUUGUGACAAUCUCGUGUUCA